GCAAAGGAAAGUUUCUCCUUGUUAUCAAUCAUCUCCCUCCGCUGCCUUCGACUUUUAAAUUAUCUGGAGGAGCGGGGAGAGAAUAGAUAGGGUCCCCAUCACUUACUGCAGCCCUCGGUCUCCGCUCCCUGCAGCAGCAGACGCUGUGUCUUCCCCCUUCAGCGGUCCCCCCCCACUUUGGCUAUGGGGUAAAAUCACAUGCAGCCACACCCGGAACACGUUCUACUUUUGGUUGUCUUCAAAAUAGGAUUUUUGGGACAGAAAAAAAAAAAAAAAAAAAAAAAAAGAGAGAGAGAGAGAAGGAAAGAAAGAAAAAGAAAAAAAAAGAGAAGGCAGGGAGAUGGCGGGAGGUGGUGUCAUCAUGCAGCUGGAAUGAGGGGGGGGUGAGGAGCAGCAGCCCACACCCUCAUUCCAGAGUUUAUUAUCCUCCGAAGGGAGCCCGCUCCUCCCAUUCCCCCGGGACGGGCCAGCACCGGGUUGCUGGGGCUCCGUUACGGCCCCGGCGGCUGCCAGAGCCCACCGGGGACGGGGAGGAACCGGGGAGAGGGGGGGCUGCCGUCGGGGGGAGGCAGCGGAGCCCCCGUUGGGCACGGGCAGAUGGCGGGCUGGCAGGCGGCCGAGGGGCUGGCAGCAACGGGAAUGACAUCACCCCACUGCCCGCGGCGGAGGGGCCGGCACAGCCCGGGGGAUGGGGAUGGGAUGGAUGGGAUGGGAUGGAGAUGGGGAUGGCAUGGGGAUGGGGACAGGAUGGUCCCGGGAUCCCCUGUCUCGUGCUGCUUUCUGAGACUUCUUUUCCCUUUGCUGCUCCUGGAAUUACUCCUCUGGGUCUGAGGAGGCACUGCCUGGAUGGUGCCCUUCGUGUGACCUUCAAGGCACCAUCUCAGUCCUGAAGGCAAGGGUGUCGAAAGAGAAAACUAGGCAAUGACUCCAUCUCCCUCCCUCGUACAGCAAUGAAGGACAGGAACCUUGCAGGGGAAAGCUGUGUCCCCUAAGGCUUAUCCUGGUAGCUAGGUAACCCUCAACAAAUUGCAGGCUAGGAAUAAAACCCUCUAAUGCCUUGUGCA
rnacentral:lncRNA from 1 species